CUUUCACAUUUGUUUUUGAAUCUUGGGUCAUUUUCCUCAAAUAAGGCUAUUUAUCCACCGGACCUUUAGCGUAAUGUAAUUGGAGUCUCCUGAACGGAAAUCGAAAUCUUGGUGGUGGGUGUUGAGCUGAAUCAUGACUCAGAAAUUCGGUGGUGGGUUGCGCCCUACGGGAACUCCGUCAGUGGGUUGGUCCUUCGUGGUCGUCAUCUCCUCGCUUCUCGCCGGCGCCUCUAUUGUCCACAACAUCUACAAACCAAAUCUUACCUUGCCUCCGGUGGAUAGUGUUCAAACGACGAACAAGAAAGAUCCUAUUUAAAAAUAAAUUACUUUAUAAACAUUAGAGUAUAGUUAGUUUAUUUCUAUCCAGAUACAUAUUUUUCUUAUUGUUGAGCUCAAAUUGUCUUUUACAUACUCUGAUGUCAAAGUUCUCUAUCGUUGGGAAAGGAACAAAAGAAUAUUAAAAGGUUCAUCACGAGAGCUUCAAGUGUUAUAAGAUUCACCAGUUAUAACAAGGGCAUUCUUCCUUUUGUUAU